CCUACGGGAGGCAGCAGUGGGGAGUAUUGGACAAUGGGGGCAACCCUGAUCCAGCAAUGCCGCGUGAGUGAUGAAGGCCCUAGGGUUGUAAAGUCCUUUCGGCGGGGAAGAUAAUGACGGUACCCGCAGAAGAAGCCCCGGCUAACUUCGUGCCAGCAGCCGCGGUAAU
rnacentral:rRNA from 1 species